UCUGCCCCCUCCGGUGAUAACUGUUUGAACAUUGACAUGCACAGGGACGUGCAUAAGUUAGGAGGGGAGAGUGUAACCCACACAAGGUUACUGGAGUGCAACUCUCUACUCUACCUGCGGGUGGCGCAUACACCCCGGGAGUUCACUUAACAACACGGUUUUUCCGGUAAAGACGUUGCUAGACGCAAACAAGGACUGGAUAAAAGCUGUGAGAGAGAGUUAAGCCGCAUGGCAGCGAGCUUCUCAAGAUACCUCCGAUUGGUUUUUAGAAAGGGAUAGACCAUCUGAAUCUGACCCUAGCAGUCAGUGGCGAGCCAACCGCAGGAGUGAACGGAUCAAGAGCCCGGUGUGGCCAGCCGUGGCAUCUUUGGAACCAGCAUCAUCCUGUACCUUCAAUUGUGAUAUAGAUAAGAACACACGUAAACCUACCUGGGUAGUGAAAAGAACAUACUGUAAGAAACACACACACACACAUCAAGGACUUCCAUGGACUUCUUUAUUUGAGUUUUAUUUUGAUUUUAUUGUGCGCUGUGCACUCAGGAAGCCGGUUUAGGUAGGCAGGGACUAUAAAGAACUGUCAUUCAUUUGGUAUAAUACAAUGUUUAAAUUUA